UGCGGUAUGGUGGAAUGGUAGACACGUUGGUUUUAGGUACCAGUGAAUUUUUUUCGUGCGAGUUCAAGUCUUGUUGCCGCAA
rnacentral:tRNA from 1 species